GAUGAACGCUGGCGGCGUGCCUAAUACAUGCAAGUCGAGCGAACGGACGAGAAGCUUGCUUCUCUGAUGUUAGCGGCGGACGGGUGAGUAACACGUGGAUAACCUACCUAUAAGACUGGGAUAACUUCGGGAAACCGGAGCUAAUACCGGAUGAUAUUUUGAACCGCAUGGUUCAAAAGUGAAAGACGGUCUUGCUGUCACUUAUAGAUGGAUCCGCGCUGCAUUAGCUAGUUGGUAAGGUAACGGCUUACCAAGGCAACGAUGCAUAGCCGACCUGAGAGGGUGAUCGGCCACACUGGAACUGAGACACGGUCCAGACUCCUACGGGAGGCAGCAGUAGGGAAUCUUCCGCAAUGGGCGAAAGCCUGACGGAGCAACGCCGCGUGAGUGAUGAAGGUCUUCGGAUCGUAAAACUCUGUUAUUAGGGAAGAACUUAUGUGUAAGUAACUGUGCACAUCUUGACGGUACCUAAUCAGAAAGCCACGGCUAACUACGUG
rnacentral:rRNA from 1 species